UACGUAUGGAGCAAGCGUUAUCCGGAUUUACUGGGUGUAAAGGGAGCGUAGACGGCGAGGCAAGUCUGAAGUGAAAUCCCCCGGCUCAACCGGGGAACUGCUUUGGAAACUGUCUGGCUGGAGUGCAGGAGAGGUAAGCGGAAUUCCUAGUGUAGCGGUGAAAUGCGUAGAUAUUAGGAGGAACACCGGUGGCGAAGGCGGCUUACUGGACUGUAACUGACGUUGAGGCUCGAAAGCGUGGGGAG
rnacentral:rRNA from 1 species